GUGAACGCUGGCGGUAGGCUUAACACAUGCAAGUCGAACGGCAGCACAGUAAGAGCUUGCUCUUACGGGUGGCGAGUGGCGGACGGGUGAGGAAUACAUCGGAAUCUACUUUUUCGUGGGGGAUAACGUAGGGAAACUUACGCUAAUACCGCAUACGACCUACGGGUGAAAGCAGGGGAUCUUCGGACCUUGCGCGAUUGAAUGAGCCGAUGUCGGAUUAGCUAGUUGGCGGGGUAAAGGCCCACCAAGGCGACGAUCCGUAGCUGGUCUGAGAGGAUGAUCAGCCACACUGGAACUGAGACACGGUCCAGACUCCUACGGGAGGCAGCAGUGGGGAAUAUUGGACAAUGGGCGCAAGCCUGAUCCAGCCAUACCGCGUGGGUGAAGAAGGCCUUCGGGUUGUAAAGCCCUUUUGUUGGGAAAGAAAAGCAGCAGGUUAAUACCCCGCUGUUCUGACGGUACCCAAAGAAUAAGCACCGGCUAACUUCGUG
rnacentral:rRNA from 1 species